GAGAACAAGAGAAAGAGGGAGAUAGAGUGUGAGAGGGAGAGAGAGAGAGAGUCACUAUGAAGUAGAAACAUAGAAACUCAGAGAAGAAGUGAACAUAAAUGAGGGAGCAAAAAGAGGAAGACGAGGAUGAGGAGGAAGAGGAGGAGGGGAAAGAAUGCCAGUAAACGACAACAGAAGAAAGGCAAUGACACACACAGCGAGUGCAAGUCAUUUAGCCAUUUCCCAGUUCAUCUCCAACGUGGGAAAACCAUCGACACCAGCAGAGAGAGGGGGAUACAGUGCAGGCAGGCGGAGAGUCUCACUGGCGGCGGGUGUUCCAGACAGAUGUUGAAGUGUUUGGGCUGGUUGGGCUUGACCCUGCGCAGGGCUAUCCG